rnacentral:rRNA from 1 species
UACAGAGGGUGCAAGCGUUAAUCGGAAUUACUGGGCGUAAAGCGUGCGUAGACGGUCAUGUAAGUCGGGUGUGAAAGCCCCGGGCUCAACCUGGGAAUUGCAUUCGAGACUGCAUGGCUAGGAUGCGGAAGAGGGAAGCGGAAUUUCCGGUGUAGCGGUGAAAUGCGGUAGAUAUCGGAAGGAACACCAGUGGCGAAAGCGGCUUCCUGGUCCAGCAGUC